UCCGCCCUCGCCGCGCCGCCCUCCUUCCCCUCCGUUCGAAUCCGGAUCUCCCUCGGGGUCGCCGGCGGCCACCUCGCGCGCAUGGCGGAUGAGGAGGUGUCUGACCCAAAGGCACUCCUAGAGGACCGAUCAAAGGCUAAGUGUGUGUCCCAAUGGUAUGAAUAUCAGAAAUGUGUCAAGAGAAUUGAAGAUGAUGAGACUGGCCAGAAGCACUGUACUGGUCAAUACUUCGAUUACUGGAAAUGUGUCGACAAAAGCGUUGCUGAGAAGCUUUUUGAUAGCCUAAAAUGACAUGGAAAAUGUUAUCUCUUGCUACCAUUUACUCAAAAGUGAGAAUAAUCAUAUCGCGUUUAUGUGCCCUGUAGACAUGUCAGGUGCUUAAUAUCUGUAAGAAACGAAGUUUUGCCUGUCGGGUAACACGACAGUUUUUCAACCGCCAAUUUACUUUUAUUUCUGCCUGAGGCAUUGAACUCUCUACAGCUGGGUUCGUACCGCAUUAGUAGUUCAGUCUUGUUUCUUAUUUUUCCUGAUGGUUCAUAAUUGAAAUACCCCCAGAUUGUGAAUUAGCACGGAAUGCUGCUACUGCCUUUUCCAUAAUAUUGCUACUAUGAUGGUUUUCCGUUAAA